AUUGAACGCUGGCGGCAUGCUUUACACAUGCAAGUCGAACGGUAACAGGCCGCAAGAUGCUGACGAGUGGCGAACGGGUGAGUAAUGCAUCGGAACGUGCCCAGUCGUGGGGGAUAACGCAGCGAAAGCUGCGCUAAUACCGCAUACGAUCUAUGGAUGAAAGCGGGGGACCGUAAGGCCUCGCGCGAUUGGAGCGGCCGAUGUCAGAUUAGGUAGUUGGUGGGGUAAAGGCUCACCAAGCCAACGAUCUGUAGCUGGUCUGAGAGGACGACCAGCCACACUGGGACUGAGACAGGGCCCAGGCUCCUACGGGAGACAGCAGUGGGGAAUUUUGGACAAUGGGCGCAAGCCUGAUCCAGCAAUGCCGCGUGAAGGAAGAAGGCCUUCGGGUUGUAAAAUGCUUUUGUACGGAACGAAACGGUCCUGGUUAAUACCUGGGGCUAAUGACGGUACCGUAAGAAUAAGCACCGGCUAACUACGUGCCAGCCGCCGCGGUAAAAC
rnacentral:rRNA from 1 species